rnacentral:rRNA from 1 species
GACGAACGCUGGCGGCGUGCUUAACACAUGCAAGUCGAACGGAAAGGCCCUGCUUUUGUGGGGUGCUCGAGUGGCGAACGGGUGAGUAACACGUGAGUAACCUGCCCUUGACUUUGGGAUAACUUCAGGAAACUGGGGCUAAUACCGGAUAGGAGCUCCUGCUGCAUGGCGGGGGUUGGAAAGUUUCGGCGGUUGGGGAUGGACUCGCGGCUUAUCAGCUUGUUGGUGGGGUAGUGGCUUACCAAGGCUUUGACGGGUAGCCGGCCUGAGAGGGUGACCGGCCACAUUGGGACUGAGAUACGGCCCAGACUCCUACGGGAGGCAGCAGUGGGGAAUAUUGCACAAUGGGCGGAAGCCUGAUGCAGCAACGCCGCGUGCGGGAUGACGGCCUUCGGGUUGUAAACCGCUUUCGCCUGUGACGAAGCGUGAGUGACGGUAAUGGGUAUAGAAGCACCGGCUAACUACGUGCCAGCAGCCGCGGUGAUACGUAGGGUGGGAGCGUUGUCCGGAUUUAUUGGGCGUAAAGGGCUCGUAGGUGGUUGAUCGCGUCGGAAGUGUAAUCUUGGGGCUUAACCCUGAGCGUGCUUUCGAUACGGGUUGACUUGAGGAAGGUAGGGGAGAAUGGAAUUCCUGGUGGAGCGGUGGAAUGCGCAGAUAUCAGGAGGAACACCAGUGGCGAAGGCGGUUCUCUGGGCCUUUCCUGACGCUGAGGAGCGAAAGCGUGGGGAGCGAACAGGCUUAGAUACCCUGGUAGUCCACGCUGUAAACGGUGGGUACUAGGUGUGGGGUCCAUUCCACGGGUUCCGUGCCGUAGCUAACGCUUUAAGUACCCCGCCUGGGGAGUACGGCCGCAAGGCUAAAACUCAAAGGAAUUGACGGGGCCCCGCACAAGCGGCGGAGCAUGCGGAUUAAUUCGAUGCAACGCGUAGAACCUUACCUGGGUUUGACAUGGAUCGGGAGUGCUCAGAGAUGGGUGUGCCUCUUUUGGGGUCGGUUCACAGGUGGUGCAUGGCUGUCGUCAGCUCGUGUCGUGAGAUGUUGGGUUAAGUCCCGCAACGAGCGCAACCCUUGUUCACUGUUGCCAGCACGUUAUGGUGGGGACUCAGUGGAGACCGCCGGGGUCAACUCGGAGGAAGGUGGGGAUGACGUCAAGUCAUCAUGCCCCUUAUGUCCAGGGCUUCACGCAUGCUACAAUGGCUGGUACAGAGAGUGGCGAGCCUGUGAGGGUGAGCGAAUCUCGGAAAGCCGGUCUCAGUUCGGAUUGGGGUCUGCAACUCGACCUUAUGAAGUCGGAGUCGCUAGUAAUCGCAGAUCAGCAACGCUGCGGUGAAUACGUUCCCGGGGCU